UACGAAGGGUGCAAACGUUGCUCGGAAUUAUUGGGCGUAAAGCGCACGUAGGCGGCUUAGCAAGUCGGAUCUGAAAUCCCUCGGCUCAACCAAGGAAGUGCAUCCGAAACUGCUGAGCUUGAGUACGAAAGAGGAUCGCGGAAUUCCCGGUGUAGAGGUGAUAUUCGUAGAUAUCGGGAGGAACACCAGUGGCGAAGGCGGCGAUCUGGGUCGAUACUGACGCUGAGGUGCGAAAGCGUGGGGAGCAAACAGG
rnacentral:rRNA from 1 species